CGGCGGGAUGGAAUGCACCUCAAAUCCAGGAGUUGUAUAUGCAACUCCUCUGAACACUGCCCAGAGCCCUAGAAUAACAGGGCAAGAUUGUAAAGAUGAUAUUAAGAACAAGAGUUUCAAGG